GACGAACGCUGGCGGCGUGCCUAAUACAUGCAAGUAGAACGCAGUUGCGAACGGGUGAGUAACGCGUAGGUAACUGCCUCAUAGCGGGGGAUAACUAUUGGAAACGAUAGCUAAUACCGCAUACUGUGAGAUGGACCUGCGUUGUAUUAGCGAGUUGGUGAGGUAAAGGCUCACAAAGGCGACGAUACAUAGCCGACCUGAGAGGGUGAUCGGCCAAACUGGGAACGAGACACGGGCCAGACUCCCACGGGAGGGAGCAGGAGGGAAUCUUCGGCAAUGGACGGAAGGCUGACCGAGCAACGGCGCGGGAGGGAAGAAGGUUUUCGGGGCGUAAAACUCUUUUGUGAGAGAAGCGGUACCUAACCAGAAAGGGACGGCUAACUACGUGCCAGCAGCCGCGGUAAUAC
rnacentral:rRNA from 1 species